rnacentral:rRNA from 1 species
GCGAACGGCUGAGUAAUACAAAGGUAACCUGCCCUGAAGUGGGGGACAACUCCGAGAAAUCGGGGCUAAUACCGCAUACGAUCCUUGCUUGAAAGCCUCGCUUGAGGAAGGGCCUUUGUCCUAUCAGGUAGUUGGUGAGAUAAAAGCCCACCAAGCCUAAUACGGGUAGCUGGUCUGAGAGGAUGAUCAGCCAGACGGGGAAUGAGAGACGACCCCGACUCCUACGGGAGGCAGCAGCAAGGGAUCUUGCGCAAUGGGCGAAAGCCUGACGCAGCGACGCCGCGUGGGGGAAGAAGGCCUUCGGGUUGUAAACCCCUUUUCUUGGUGAAGAGGGACGGUAACCAAGGAAUAAGCCUCGGCUAACUACGUGCCAGCAGCCGCGGUAAUGCGUAGGAGGCGAGCGUUAUCCGGAAUCACUGGGCGUAAAGGGCGUGUAGGCGGUCCCUUAAGUUGGCAGUGAAAUCUCCCGGCUUAACUGGGAGGGGUCUGUCAAUAC